rnacentral:rRNA from 1 species
AUUGAACGCUGGCGGCAUGCUUUACACAUGCAAGUCGAACGGCAGCGCGGGCUUCGGCCUGGCGGCGAGUGGCGAACGGGUGAGUAAUGCAUCGGAACGUGCCCAGUAGUGGGGGAUAGCCCGGCGAAAGCCGGAUUAAUGCCGCAUACGACCUGAGGGUGAAAGCGGGGGACCGAAAGGCCUCGCGCUAUUGGAGCGGCCGAUGUCGGAUUAGCUAGUUGGUGGGGUAAAGGCUUACCAAGGCGACGAUCCGUAGCUGGUCUGAGAGGACGACCAGCCACACUGGGACUGAGACACGGCCCAGACUCCUACGGGAGGCAGCAGUGGGGAAUUUUGGACAAUGGGGGCAACCCUGAUCCAGCCAUGCCGCGUGCGGGAAGAAGGCCUUCGGGUUGUAAACCGCUUUUGUUCGGGAAGAAAUCCUCUGGGCUAAUACCCCGGGGGGAUGACGGUACCGGAAGAAUAAGCACCGGCUAACUACGUG